rnacentral:lncRNA from 1 species
AUGUAUGGCAGAACGAAUGAGAAGAAUCAAAUUAGGCAGAAGGAUAAAAAUUUCUCAAAUCUGAAAAGAUGGGAGAGUAUUUUUAUGAUAUAUGAUCAUCUUAAUGAUUAAGAGACCUUAUCACAAUUCAUCCUUUAAGUGCAUUCUGAUAGCUAAGAAGAGGAGUUAUGAAUUGUUGAAGUGGUUAAAUCAAGAAGAUGAGUCAUACUUCGUUCCAAAACAAUUCUUAGAGUCAUACUCCAAGAUUGUAACUUGAGUGACAUAUCUUAAAGAAGGUUUAUUAACACUAGUCAAAUGUAAGAGUAACAGGUUAUCUACUCUUGUACAUUUGAAAUUGGUAAGUUGUGAUGUUUUGGAUAAAACAGAGACCAACUUAGACCAAUUGUGUGAAGUGUUUGUCUUGAUAAAGAAUCCGCACUAUCCCUUGAAAAUUUGGUUGGUUUUUCACAAAACGAAACAUUUUAAUCUAAGGGUUUUAAUAAAAGUCAAGGGUUGAUACGUGCAAUUAGCCGAGCUCAAGUAAGUCUUCCUAAAAUACCCAUACAAGUUAUUAUGUUUUAUGCUAUGAUAUGAGAACUACAUGCUAGAUUUUGUGCUAAGGAUCUACUCAGGAUUGCAUGAAAGAAUGCUAGGAAAGAUGCCUUUAUGUGCCUAUCUAUAUGAGCUUUUAGAAUUGCAUGCUAGUAUCAGAUCAGUUACUUGUUAGGAUGGCCUGAUAUGGUAUAUUUUAAGUGUAAUUGCCUGACGCUCGAAUGUUGCAUGUUUUGUGCUUUAGUAAGUUCUGUUGGUACUAACUAACUGGUGGAUGAAUGCGUUGGGUUACAUAUCACUGUGAUUAGAUUAUUUUAGAAGGAUAGGUUUAACUCUAUUGUGCAGCUCUUUUUUGAGUCCAACCAUUAUAGGGUGGGACCUAUCAUUCAAAGGAUUAUCUGGUACUAGUAGUGUGUAAUUGUAUUCAUGUGGUUGUUAGGUGGUACUUGUAGAAGUUCCUUCUACAGCUGAUAGCAGAGAAAGGUGAGGAAGGGAGUCUUAGGGAGUCCCUAUAAGAUGCUUAGUGUGUAGGGUGCCUUAUAGUUUGAGAAUGUAUUAGUUGGGAAGAGUGACUUGGAAGAGUCGGUGUAGUCCUUGAGGAGGGUAUAAUGGGGUGUGGCAGGUAGUAUUACGCCCGUACUACUGAAAGCACAAGAUUUAUACCCGAUGCCAGAAAGACCACGAUGAGUUUGGGGAGCUCGAGAGUGCGAACCUUCUCGUGUGUAUGCUAAUUCUUUAUGUGGUUAUGUUUCAGUAUGGUGAUGACAUGUCAUGGAGCAGGAGGUUUGAGGAUCAAGAUCUGGUUCUGGCACUGGCUCCGAACUAAAUGAUGAGGGUUUAUGAGAUUUCAUUGCAUAUAAGGUUACGAGAGGCAACAUUGAUGCGGCCCCUGUGAUGUCCGGGUCGAUCAAGGAAGGUAUCAUGGAGUUGAUGGAGGAUCGUAUGCGGAUCUUCAGGGCUGAUCUGGCCGCUAGCUAGUCGGGGGCCCACACACUCUUCUUCAAGGAUAUCAAGGGAUGUGGAAGACCAGACUUCUUUGGGGUGAAGGACCCCAUCACAGCCAGACAUUGGAUAGCCGACAUCUAGUGUGCUCAGAUCAUGAGCUUCUGCCUCGACGGGUCGAACGUCAAGUUUGCUGCAAGAUGUUUGAGGGAGCCAGCCCGGGAUUGGUGGGAGGAGGUCCUCUAUGCCUUGGGAGCCCUGGUAAUUGAGGCCAUGACCUAGCUAGAUUUUGUGACCAGGUUUUGAGCAGAGUUUACACCGGCUGUUGAGGUGCACAGUUAGCCAAGGAGUUUCUUGAUAUGAGGCAGACGACUAAGACUGUGGUGGAGAUCACUGCCAAGUUUAGAGAGAGAGAAGGCAUUGUUGGUAACCUAGUAUGCAGCUAGCAAGGAGAUGAGAAAGACCUAAUACCAGGAUAUGUUGAGAUCCGACAUCAAGAAGUUCAUUAGUUUUCUGCCUGUCCGACACUGGAUGAUAUAAUAGGCAAGCCGUAAGAGCGAGAGAUUGACCUGGAGCACAUAUGGAAGAAGAGGGCAGAGCCUGGACAGAUCUUUGGGGUUUCAGCGAAGAAACCCAUGGGUUUUCUCUCUAGGCCUAAGGGCCGGAGACGUUGUGGAAAAUGCGGCAGGUCGCAUGUUGGGUUUGUAGAGCGGGUGGUUUGGGCUGCUACAAGUGCAGAAAGUUAGGGCACUUUAGCAAGGAUUUUACUGCUUCUAUCACCACUUCACAUACAUCAUACCUAAUUUUCUUUCAUUGCAAUUAGUGGAACAAAAAAAAGGUCAACUUCCCGCCUCUAGCAUUAGGAGGACCAAUGUUAGCUCCAGCUCCUGCGACCAUACGGAUCACAGAUGGAUGCUAGGGCAAGGCGGAUGCUCCUGUAACGAGGAGACGUGCCUUUUAGUUAACAGUCGAGGAGGCGUGUGUUGCACCCGAUGUGGUGACGGGUAUGUCUAUUCACCUUAACUCUUUAUUUAUGUUGAAUUUGUUGCUUAUAUUUUAUGUUCUUUGUUUUAGGAUCAUUCCUUGUGAACUGUAUCCCUGCUUAGGUAUUUUUUUAAUUUGGGGGCUACCCAAUACUUUGUGUCUCUUUCACUUAACAAGAGGUUUACUGGAUCUUCUAGUGAGCUGGAUCAUCCAUUAGAAGUUGAGAUUGAGGAUAAUCGAUUCGUCAGGGCAUCGAGGGUUCAUCGGGAUUGUGUUAUGGGAUGUUUAGUGAGCAGUAUCUGAUUGACUUGGUUCCCAUUCCUUUGCACGAGAACAAGGUUAUAGUGGUGAUGGAUUAGUAAUGCCCCAAUGGGGAGAUGAUUGAUAUGAGUGCCAGCUGGUACGUGUUUGGACCCUAAGUGGGGGAGAAUUGGUGGUCCAUGGAGAGGGCACUCAGCGCGGGUGGGUCCUAUGCUUAGCUGCUAGGGCCAGACGCUAUCUUCAUCAGGGUUGUUCUGGGUUCGUCGCCUAUUUUAUUGAUACCCGGGAGCAGGGUAGAGCAUCGGUUAAUGAUGUAUCGAAUGUGUAGGAGUACCCAUAUGUGUUUAUGUAGGAUUUACCCUGGGUGCCUCUGGAGAGGCAGCUGGAGUUCCGAAUUGAUUUGAUCCCUAGUGUGGCUCCGAUGGCUAAAACACCAUAUUGAUUAGCUCCACCAGAGAUGCAGGAAUUGUCUACAUAGCUGUUAGACAAGGGAUUCAUCCAACUGAGUAGUUUGGCUUUGGGUGCACCGAUCCUAUUUGUGAAGAAGAAGGAUGGUUCGCAUUGGAUGUCUAUUGACUAUAAGGAUUUGAAUAAGUUAAUGGUGAAGAACCGCUAUCAACUCCAAUGGAUUGAUGAUUUUUUUACCAACUUUAGGGUGUGUAUUGGUUUUCCAAGAUUAAUGUAUGUUCGGUUUAUCAUCAGAUGAGGGUCAGAGAGGACGAUAUGCAGAAGACGACCUUCUGGACUCGUUAUGGUCAUUACAAGUUCGUAGUGAUGCCCUUCAGGCUCACCAAUUCUCCACCCGUAUUCAUGGACCUCAUGAACCACGUGUGUCGACCAAUGUUGGAUCGUUCUUUGAUUGUAUUCAUUGAUGACAUUCUGGUCUAUACCAAGACCCAAUAGUAGCAUGAGGAGCACUUGGGAGAGGUUUUGGAGACCCUGAGGAGGGAGAGGUUGUAUGCAAAGUUCCCAAAGUGUGAGUUCUGGUUGUGUGAGCUGCAGUUUCGGGGGCACCUUGUCAACCAGAAUGGUAUUCUGGUCGAUUCGGCCAAGGUAGUGGUCAUAUGAGUUGGGAAGUUCUAAGGUCGCCAUCUGAGAUUCAGAGUUUCCUUGGUUUAACUAGAUAUUUGUUGGAUUAAUGUCUAAGUCCAUAACUAUAAUGGGUAAGACUUGACCCGACCCGGCAUGGUCCAUUUGGGUUGCAUGGCAUCAUGCAUUUGGAAAGACUAUAAUGAGAGAAUUAACACUUAAGGUUUGUUAAUAUAUUAUAAGUUAUAAUAUAUAUUAAUAAGAUUAUUUAAUUAGUAUUGAUCAAGAAUUAAUCUAGAAUUAAUUAAGUGAUCAAAAGAAGACUAAUUAAAUAUAUGGGUUGAUUGUGUAAAUCAUCCAUACUUGUAUAGUGGGCUAAUGCUCCAUGGAUUAUCAAGUUGGGCUAAAACCUAUAUGAUGCUCCAUGGAUGCUCCAUGGUGUAUUUGAACCCACGGAUCCAAGGAAAUGGAAAGCCAUGACAAUUAGGGUUUACCUAAAUUGUAACAACUAUAUAAGAUCAUAUUAUUUAGCAAAAAUCGGCCACUAUGUGUGUAAUAGAGGGGCUAGCCGAUUUUCAUGAAGUAUAGAAUUCUCUCAAGUUAUUCCAAGUUUAUUUGAUGUUGUGUGAGCCGUUUGAGGUGUCACACUUGGGGCACUAGGCACUUAAGCUUCUUGAGAACAUUCUACAUCAAAGAGGUAUGUAUUCUAUCUUGUUAUAUUCAUUGUUUUGUAUGCUAGAUUAGGAUAAUACCUUGGAUGUUCAUAUUUGCAUGUAUAAUAGAGAAAACAUAGAUCCAAGGUAUUUAGGGUUGCAUGUACACUUAGGAGUGUUAGAAUGCUCAAAACCCAACAGUGGUAUCAGAGCCUAGGCUUGUUUUCUUGUUAUACUUGCAAAACGAGCUUGAAAAUCGAGUUUUGAUGCUGUCUGCCCAGCAGACUCGCCGAGUCCAUGAAUGGACUCGCCGAGUCCAAGGCAAAAUGCAUCCAACUCGCCGAGUUGGUUCGUGCACUCGACGAGUUGGACCCCCAGACAGCAUAAAUUCGACUUUUUUGGCUGGAAUUGGACUAGGAACAUUACCCUAAGAUGUUUUUGGACUUAUAAACUUGUUUUUGAUGUGGUAAUGUUCAUGCUAAUCCAAUUUCUAAGAUAAUUGUCAAAAUUUCAAGAUUUGUAUUAGUUUGUAUGUUCAUGCUAAUUUCUUGAAGAUUGAUGAUUUGAAUUAUCUUGUUCUUAGAUUAAUAGAAAAGUUGUGUGAAAUAGUUGAUUUCAAUCCAUUUUAAUCUAAGAGUUGAUUCCAAAGUGUGUUUUUGUAACUUGUCCUCAAGUUAUAUGAAAAGUCACAUUUAAGAAUCAUAAAACUCAUAAAAGUUGGCAAAGGUUACAAAAUGAAGAGUCUAGUUCUAAUUAAAUGGUUUUAUGACUCCAUAACUUGUCCUCAAGUUAUGGAGGACCAAGAGUCUCUUCAUUAAAUAAUAAAUAAAAAAAAAAAGUGUAACCUUAAUUAAUUCCAUAAGUUAUAAAAUAAAGAAAAGUUAAUUCUUUUAUUAGUUUAAAGUCUUCCAUAACUUGUCCUCAAGUUAUGGAACUUGAAGAGUUUUUGGAUUAAAACUACUUUAAACACAUAAGUUAUGGAAUUAAUUAGUUUUGAAUAGUUUCAAAACUUGCCCUCAAGUUUUGGAAUUUGAAAAGUUUUCUCUUAUGAAUACUUUAAUUCCAAGUUAAGCCCUUAGGAUUUUAAAAGUUAAAAUUCAAUCCUUAUACUUUAUAAUAUUAUAAGUCAAUAAUAUUUAUAUAUAUGUAUAAGAGUAAAAGUCAGUCUUACCGUUAGUAGGCCUCAUUCACGAAGCCGGUCUAUAAGGGGGGUAUAAGGUUACUGCCUAUAAAAUGGUAGUUUAAUGGGUGUCCACUCUCACCCACCGCUUCCUUGACUGGUGGAGGGUCGUUAGCCGAACGGGUAGGACAAAGACUAUAAGUUCUCCCUUCAUUAAAAGUAUUAAUGAUAAAUACUAAGUAACUAAACCUUUUAUAAAUUCCCAAUCUUAGUUACUUAGAAAAAUGUGAAUAAGGUGCUAACCAAUGAAAUUACACUUUGCAUUUUGCGUAAGUCGGUUGGUGGAGCGUGUGUGGUUUACCAGCACACUAGCUUCAUUUAACAGGGUAGGCGAAGGGUUUCGUAAAGCUUAAUCAUAGGCCGGUGGAGCGUGUGUGGUUUACCGGCACAUCGGUUGGGUGAUAUACAUUUAAGAGUACCAAGUAAUUUGCAUGGUUACUUCACACCUUGUUUUGUGAUCCUCGGCAUCCCAGUCACAAAACCUGAAGGGCACACUCGAGAUUGAAACAUGCCAUUGAAAAGUUCAAUGAAUCUCAAAAGAUCUAGGAGUUUCAAAUCCAAUUAAAACUUAGUUAUAUUUCGUUUUUCGUGGUGGAAAUUGGUAAAUCCUCAUUUACCUACCUUCAACUAUUUUAUAAUUUGGAUUACGGCAUCCCUCUUCCAGUUAUAAAUAAGUUGUUGGGUCCUAGCCUUAAUAUUUCAUAUUGGGUGUUAUAUUAAGGACUUUUAAAUCAACUAAACUUGAAUAUGUCCCAAAAGGUGUCUAGUUCAGACAUCUAUGAUCUUCCCAAAUCUCUUGGAACUUCACUUCCUCCAAUUCCUCCAAUUAUUCUCCUAACCCACAAGUUCAAGGUCACUCAAGGCCUAUUGGCGAGGCAAGGUCUAGGUGUGAUCACAUCUUGGAGAUGAAGUCACAUAUUGACAAGCUGAGAGAGUUGGGUGUCAAAGUCUUGAGAAAGUUCGAUGUUCAAUCACUUUAUAAGUCACAUAGUGAGUUUCUUUGGGACUCCUAUGAAAUAGACUAUGACAAGACCCUUAAUGAUCUUAUCUAUUUGCUUGGUACUGCUAAAUCAGCAAUGAUUUGGAAGACUAGUAAAGCAAAUUUGAUUAAAAAUCGACUUCCAAAACUUUAUGGACAGGGACAAUAGUGACACAGGAAAUCCAGAAAAGCAUUCUCUUCCCAAUAGAAAGUGAUUGGCCAUAGUCAACUUGGCUGACAAAAUGGUAAAGAGAAAGGCUAAGUCUGAGAUAGUCCCAUGUACUAUUACCUAAGGGUCCAUAUGUUUCUAUUGCCAAAGGAAGGGGCUUUGAUUACGAAACUACCAAACUUACCUAAGGAUGGUAAAGUCAAUGAGUUUGACUUUAUUUCAGGUAAAGUCCAUUGUCUAACUCUAUUAAGUUUCUAUUAUGAGAUUCUUGAUACAUAAUGUAACUGGAUCACACAUUCAUGUUUUAAGAAUCAAAGAGAACUGAAGAAAUUUAAAGAUAGAAUAUGCUGAAUCAGAUUGCGUAGAUGGAUUUCUAUCGCAUAGUUUGAAGAUCGGAUUCUUGAGCUACUUCUUAGGAGUUAUGAGAUAUUUCUUAGGAAUAGAUAACAACUGGUUUUCAUAUGGAUUGUAAGGAUAAGUUCUUCUGCAAAGUUUUUUAAAAUAAAAGGAAAAUUUCUGAUUUUAUUUAUUUUAAAAUAUCCUUACAAUGGCAUCUAUGAAAAUUUUUGUUACUUAUAAGAUUCCAUUAAUAGCAAGACUGGAAAUAUGAAAUUGAUUCUUUCAUUUGUGGUAAUGUCUAAAUUCACCAAAUAAGGAAAGAUUCACAUCACCCAAGUUUCAAUUGGAUCGGAACUUGGAAUCAUGUAAGUUGUAUACUAUGAUGAAUGAGAACUUUCAAGCAUUGGAAAAUUAAGACAAAUUACUUGUUCACAUGGAUGUGUGAGUCAAGUAAAGGACUAAGGGAUCGAGUACACAUUCUUGUGCACUAAUCAAGACCACCACAAAUAGUCGAUAAGACUAUUCGUCAUGAUUUACUAAAGUUUAAUAAAUAUGGUUAUACUUAUAAGUCUAAGUGUAAUUCUGAAGCAUUGGAAAAGNUUGGAAAAUUAAGACUAAUUACUUGUUCACAUGGAUGUGUGAGUCAAGUAAAGGACUAAGGGAUCGAGUACACAUUCUUGUGCACUAAUCAAGACCACCACAAAUAGUCGAUAAGACUAUUCGUCAUGAUUUACUAAAGUUUAAUAAAUAUGGUUAUACUUAUAAGUCUAAGUGUAAUUCUGAAGCAUUGGAAAAGUCUCGAUGUAUGGAAGAACGAAUGAGAAGAAUCAUAUUAGGCAGAAGGAUAAAAGUUUCUCAAAUCUGAAAAGAUGGGCGAGUAUUUUUAUGACAUAUGAUCAUCUUAAUGAUUAAGAGACCUUAUCACAAUUCAUCCUCUAAGUGCAUUCUGAUAGCUAAGAAGAGGAGUUAUGAAUUGUUGAAGUGGUUAAAUCAAGAAGAUGAGUCAUACUUCGUUCCAAAACAAUUCUUAGAGUCAUACUCCAAGAUUGUAACUUGAGUGACAUAUCUUAAAGAAGGUUUAUUAACACUAGUCAAAUGUAAGAGUAACAGGUUAUCUACUCUUGUACAUUUGAAAUUGGUAAGUUGUGAUGUUUUGGAUAAAACAGAGACCAACUUAGACCAAUUGUGUGAAGUGUUUGUCUUGAUAAAGAAUCCGCACUAUCCCUUGAAUAUUUGACAAGAGAGUCUUAUAUGUC